GAUUCCUUAGCUCAGUUGGUAGAGCAACGGCCUUUUAAGCCGUGGGCCCUGGGUUCGAGCCCCAGAGGGAUCA
rnacentral:tRNA from 1 species